rnacentral:lncRNA from 1 species
AUGAGGCAGACGACGCUGACAGUGCUACUUUAGAUCUAGUUGUUUGAACUUUUGUUAAGCGUGUGGGGUGCAGACCUUUUGUCACUAGUUGUAUGGUGCCACUUGCUAUAGCUUCUUUUGGAUUGCUUUUGUAUAUUUUGAUUGGCAAAGAUGAUUCUUUGUCAUCGAACACAUAGGGGACAACUGUGUUGAUAUGUGUUGUUCUAGAGUUCUUGAUUGAUGGGAAGGAAUGCAAGCAAUUGAAUUAAUUCUCAUUUGGACGUGCAUGUACAUUGGUUAAUCCAGAUUGUACCCAAUGAUUUGUACUGUGGAGUGAAAUGAUAGGGGGGAAGGAAUGAUAGUUUGGUUAGUUACAAAUUUAUUCGAGUGGAUAUUUUGGGGGUUGUCUAUGGGACCCAUGGCAGAAGUAUAAUACUAGGAGCUUUUACUGCCAAACAGGAGUUGUAGUGGUGGUGUACUAGAGACGGUGGAGUUGUAACGGUGGUGUAUUGGAUACGGCAGUUUGGUGAACACGGAUCUACAUCGGGCGAUUUCUGCGAUUCCUUCAGCAAGGUAAAGAUCUGUCCAACACCUAUCUUUCCUUGCAUUAUUAUUGCUUCUAGAAAUCUGGACCUGCACUCAUGAGUCACUACUAGGCCAACCAAAUUGGGCCGGGUAUCACAUACACCCCCUCAAAGAACACGACUCUCGUCGAUCCAACUCACUCACACUCUGGCAAAUGUCUAGGAACGUUCCCUCUUAGCGCAUAUCCGUACGUGCAACCGUGAUGGUCGGCUCUAAUACCACUUGUAACAUCCCGUCCUCCAAAGCCACACCACCCAACCGUUUCGAGGGGCGAGCACGCGUACACAUAGCACCCUGCUUACACUUUCAUCCUCACUUCG